GGUUAGACUAACUAAUUGGUUGGAUUCAAUCUUUUAGUGUGGUUUGGCCAUGGGCAUUAUAGCCUAGUUGAGUGACCUAGGCCCAAUUUUAGAUUCUAACA